AUUGAACGCUGGCGGCAUGCUUUACACAUGCAAGUCGAACGGUAGAGGGGGCAACCCCUUGAGAGUGGCGAACGGGUGAGUAAUGCAUCGGAACGUGCCCAGUCGUGGGGGAUAACGCAGCGAAAGCUGUGCUAAUACCGCAUACGAUCUCUGGAUGAAAGCGGGGGACCUUGUAGCAAUACGGGGCGUCGAGCGAUUGGAGCGGCCGAUGUCAGAUUAGGGAGUUGGUGGGGUAGAGGCUCACCAAGCCAACGAUCUGUAGCUGGUCUGUGAGGACGACAAGCCACACUGGGACUGAGACACGGCCCAGACUCCUACGGGAGGCAGCAGUGGGGAAUUUUGGACAAUGGGCGCAAGCCUGAUCCAGCAAUGCCGCGUGCAGGAAGAAGGCCUUCGGGUUGUAAACUGCUUUUGUACGGAACGAAAAGGUCUGGGUUAAUACCCUGGGCACAUGACGGUACCGUAAGAAUAAGCACCGGCUAACUACGUGCCAGCAGCCGCCGUAA
rnacentral:rRNA from 1 species